UUUGGGCCGGUCCACAUAGAAUCCGAAAAUAACUAACCCUAUCCUAGCAAAAGGGGAAAACGCCGCUGUUGAUACAAAUCUGGUGUUUAAAGAGACAAGGCAGAGAGAUAAGACACAGAGAGAAAGAUGUGGAGAUGGAUGAGGAAAGGGUCUCUGAACGAAUGGAAGCCACUUUUUCGCAGAUCAAUGGAGAAAGCGGAGGAGAUUUAUGUGAGCAAUUGGUUCGAUAUCUUGGUCGUGAGGGGUGGCUUGGCUGUCACCAUUGCCGCUUCAACUGCGAGGCACCGUAAGAAUAAGAAGAAUUCAUAGAUGCUGCUCGUACGAUCUGCUUAUAUAUUUAUAUUUAUGUAAACACCAAUGUUGUGAGUAAUUAUGUCUAUUAGAUGAACAUGGCUGGAAGUAAACUACUUUUAUUAGAACUCUGUCUUUUGUGGUGUUGAUCUUACAACUCUUAUCAUGUUUGAUCUGUUGGUUGUUGUUUAUCUUCAAAAAGAAGAAUAUUGAUUUUUAGCUCAGUAAUUACUAAUUUCGGAUACAGUCCAGUGCCUAUACGCUGCUUGUUAAUUCUUUCUUGUUGAUGAUUUUUGCUAAUCGGAUACGCGUUUAGUUGUUUGCUUACUUUCUUGUUGGUCGGAUACGGCUGAAUAUUUACAAAAAUUGCCACUCCCGCACCCCCGUCCGGAAGUGCUUCGACACGCCACGUGGCGUAUCCCGUACGCACCCCCACGCACUGAGUGCGUACGGGAUACACAGUUCUUCCCUCCGGGGAAGAAUCCCUGCUUUCUAGGUAAUUACUAAUUUCAGAUACAGUCCAGUGCCUACUUUUGUAAUUCAAUCGGAUACGCGUUUAGUUGUUUGCUUACUGCUUGUUAAUUCUUUCUUGUUGAUGAUUUUUGCUGCUAUUGAGAGUUUUUUGGAUUAUUGCAUGGUUUGUUCACUAUGGCUUGUACUUGCCUAUUUCACUCGUAUAUCCUUUAAAUUCCCAAAUAUUUGAAGAAGCUUGUGUUUUCACUUGGAUCAGCUACAAGCCAACAAUGAUGAAAACCCGAGAUGUAUCUAUUUUUCGGUUAACAGCUUUCUUUAAUAUUUAGGCUCCCAUGUGUUCCCAUGUGUUUGUGACGAUAAUCGAAAUUGUGUACUUUGCUCUGAUGCAAUUUUAUGCUUGUGAGUCUUAUGAACACGUAAGUAUGAUAAUCUCAUUAAGUUGUCAUAUAGUUUUGGCUGGAUAGUCGGUAACUUCAGCCGACGGAAAAAUCUUUUUGAGAAUUAGCUUUUGAGAGAUUAACAGAGGAACCAUAUGACUGCAUGUAUGUAUGCGCUUUUGGUACAAUUUUUGUUAGCUCUGUUUGAUAUGCACCGUAGCUCUGGUUGCAUUGUGUUGACCAGUUCAAACGAUUUUUUAGAAAGGUUCUGAUUUGCUGGUUUUUUUAGAACACAAAUAUGGUUUUUGAUUUGCUUUUUUUUUAAGAACAUAAAUAUGGUUUUGAUUUGCUGGCCUUUUGAAAGCUUAAAUCUGCUUCUACAUUCUAGAUUAGUAUAAUUCUAUCGUUGAAUUGCUGAUUUCUGUGUAAAAGACUUUUCUCUUCUCAAUCCCUAUGCAUUGUCGGUUCAAUCAUAGAUUUAUCAAAUCAGUAAUUGUUUCUCAAAAGCUUUCAAGGAUGACAUGAAUCGGGCUUGGAUCCGAUUUUGUACUAAUUUAUGUACUCCUUUUGCUUAUCAUGUUUGAUCUAUUGGUUCGGCAAUUAUUGGUGCGAAUUUGUACUAAUUUAUGUACUCCUUUAUGCUGAGAUGUUCAAUUUUUUGUGCUAUAUUAUGUCUCUAGAUUAGAGUUCAAUCAUUUGUUCAGCUCAUCUAUUAUGGUAUCUCUGUUAUUUUUUCUGAAUUAUUUUGUCUUAUAUUCAAAAGUACCACCAAUGCUAGCUAAUGAGCUCUUCAAACACGACACUUAUGAGCUCAGAAGUUCGUAAGAUUACAAAUUUAUAAACAUGCCAAGGGCUCAACAGUUGACAAGAAUGAGCUCAAAAGAUUGAUUAAGAAUGCUGAAAAUGUCCGGUUCAAGCAAAAGCAAGUAUGAAAUCUAGGCAAAGUAGGCUCAAGAGCUUGACACAUACUCUUGCAGGGAAAAAUUUUCUGGGGUAAGGCUAAGAGCGGGUUCAAAACUUCAAAUCACAAAAAACAGCUUAAAAAUCACACAGCAAAGUAAAAAGAUUAUAAACAAGCUAGCACUCUAAUAGUAUACGAAACCGGUGUAGGCAGAUCCUCCUGAUUGGUCUGUGUGUUUUUGUGUUUCCAGUUGCUUAGGUUAUAACUUAUAAGCACGAAACUACAGAUUAAAACAACAAUUCUUAAGCCAGAAGUUUAGGACUUCUCCUUCUAGUAAUGUUCUUCCAUAUAAGAAUCUUUGACGAGAGAAGCUGAUUACAUCUGCCACAACGGAAAACCAUAGCAACUUUUACGGACCUUUCUUCAGUAUAAUCUAAAUGAAUCAUUCAUAUUUGGUUGUAGACAGAUGUUAGCAAUGAGUUUAAGAAUUGAUGUUUUGUUCGGAUCUGAUCGAGGCCAAAACAAUGUUUCAUCCUCACUUAGUAUCGCCGGUUAUAGCUGAGGCAAUGGCUUAUAAGGAAGCCUUGAGCUGGAUGGAGGAAAAAGGAUGGAAUGAGGCCACUCUUGAGUCUGACUGCUAUGUAGUUGUGCAAGCUGUCAGGAGCUGUGUUCCUAUGAGAUCAUAUCUCGGAGUAAUUGUUGAAGGAUGUCGUUCUAUCCUUCAACGUCUAAACAAAUCUAGUUUGUUCUUUGUUAAACGGUCUGCUAAUAUGGUAGCCCAUCACUUAGCACGAGAAUCAUAUUAUUUGUCAGGUCGUAGUUUGGAUAGGACCUCUUUGCCUAUCUUGGUUCAAAAUUGUACUCCCUCCGUCCCAUUUAAUUCUAUACGUUUCUUUUUCAUUGUUCGACACGCAUUUUAAGGCACAUGCAAAACAUAGUUCUAUAAUCCUUUUUCAAAAUUUUCUUUUUCUGUAUAAAAAUUUAACGUUUAAACUUUUAUUCAGAAAAAGAAAAUUUCAAAAAAAAACUUAUCGAAACAUGUUUUACGGAUGUCUUAGAAUGCGUGCCGAGUUUGCAUCCCCCUAGUAUACAACCCAGGGGGACAGAGGGAGUAUUGCUUUGGAUUUGAUUCCGUAAUAUAAAUUCCAGCUUUUCGUAAAAAAAAAAACCACUAGAGUUGUGUCAAUUAGUUAUUUUACUGGUGAAGGUAACUCGAAAAUCUCAGGCCCCAGGGCCGUAGCACAGCAAUCACACUCCUCAGGAUUCAGGAAUGUUAUCAAUUUAUCAACAAAAAGUGGUCACUGGUCGCACCAAUAUAAAGCAAUUACUCAACUCUCAGAAACACACGCUUUCAUCUUUUGGUAGUUUGUUACAUUAUAUCAUGUGCUUCUAUAGUUUUUUUUAUAUUAUUAUUUUGUACAUUCGGUUGCAACAUAUUAUCUUGGUAUAUUCAGUCUGAUCUGUUGCAUAUGAAUUGCAUGUUCAGGUAAUUUCGCUUCUAGGGCGUUGCAGGAGAAUACUCGCAAACCCUACAGAGGAGGUUGAGUUUUGUUCACCUUUCAAGGUAUGCCAACUCAUA